CUGAAUAAACCUGACGUGGUUGUAGCUGACUCCCUUGGGGGUAUGUGCACACCUGUCAUCUUUAUCUUUCCACCUGUGCACUUUUUGUAGACCUGGAUGUAACACUUUCCAAGGCAACUUGGUCAAGAGGAAUGCUUGUUAGCUUUCCUUGCAUAUCCAGGCCUAUGUUUUCAUAUACCCCAAAGAAUGUAACAGAAUGUAUCAUUGGGCCUUGUGCCUAUAAAAUAUAUA
rnacentral:misc_RNA from 1 species